AUUAUGAUUGGCUUCUUGGGCUCUUUCAACUCUUUUUCUUUGUCGUUUUCUUUCCUUAUUGGUAUCCAUGUUUUUGUCCUUCUUACCCCCAUCCCCCAUUAUUGCUUGGUUACCUUCCGUAGUCUUUGAAUUAAUCCAGCUAUUAUACUACUUUUGACUUGUUUUGUUUUCUUUACUCUCACCCUAUUUACAAACACCU
rnacentral:lncRNA from 1 species